GUUAUAGUGUUCUUUUUUCUGUCUAGAUCAUUGGGGAUGCACUUGAUGCUUAUCCAAAAACUCCAUGUGUUGAUAGAGUAAGAGAGUGGCCUGGACAAAUAGAUUUUUGUCUAUCCCAAACUUUCUGGACAAUGCAAGUACAGAUGGCUAUUAGAAAUGGUCAAGGGCACUAGAGGAUUUUCUGGAACAGAAUAAUAGGUUGAGGACGUUGCCACCUUGGUGCGAGGAAAGCUGUCUAAGCAGAAUCGAGUGACUGCAGGAGCACUUGUUGUGCUUGAUGUUCAUGCUAGGAAUGUUCUUGCAUCUCCAGUAAGCAAAAAAGUCAAAGAUGAGAGUGACUUUGAAUGGUUAAGGCAGCUUAGGUGCUACUGGGAGUUAAGUGAUACCUCUCAAUCCUAUUAGAAGAGUGACAAAAAUGUUGCAUCCAAAAAGCUGAAGUUGAAUCAAGAUGAAGGAAAAUUAAAGAUUGUUAUUGGUCUGAGAAAGAAAGAAGCAGACCUGAGGGAGGUUCAAGAUAAAUUGGUGUACUCUACCAGACAUGGGAAUCCAAGAAGGAAAGAGAAGGCUGACUUGGAAAUCAGGUUGACUUAUGCAGCAAAACACUACAAUGAACAGAACAAUUGAUUGGUGGCCUUGGGGAUGAGAAAAUUCACUGGCAUGAGACUGCUUUGGAGCUGGGAAGUGAAAUAAGCAGAAAUUCAGAAUACAAGAAGAUUUUUACAUGGCAGAUGAUUUUACAUGUUGGAAAUUUUGGAUGUCAAAAUUACCCUGAUUUUGAGCGUUUUUGAACAUCAAAACCUACCACUGAGUGCAACUGAAGAAAUUGAUGUCCAUUUAUUUUGAAAAUCAGGUUCACAUUUGGAAGUAGAGAUGCGUGGAUAACACUUCAGCUCUGGCAACCGGAUAGGUGACAAAGUGCAAAAUUAAACAGUGCUACUGGAAAAUAUUGGAGAAGAACUUGAUCCUAUCCUAAAGCCACUUUUACUCAGACAUUUAAGUAGUCGGGGAGUCUUUGCCUUGGAGAAUCCACUACUGAGUGUGCUCCUGAAUUCCACUUUAUAUUACAAAUAAGCUGG